GACUCAGUGACCUUUGAGGAUGUGGCUGUGAACUUCACCCAGGAGGAGUGGGCUUUGCUGGGUCCUUCCCAGAAGAAUCUCUACAGAGAUGUGAUGUGGGAAACCUUCAGGAACCUGAUGUCUGUAGGUGAAGACCAGAUCAUUGAAGAUCAGUACAAUAAUUCCAAAAGAAAUCUAAGAAGUCAUAUGGUAGAGAGAGUCUGAAGGUAAGGAAGAUGGUCAAUGUGAAGAGAUCUUCAGCCUUGUUCCAAAUGGUAUAGUGAAGACGACUUUUACUGGAGUCAAAUCAUGUGAAAGCAGUGUGUGUGAAGAAGGCAAUAUGGAUCAUUCAUCUCUUAAUUGCUGCAUCAGAGCUGACACUGGACACAAAUCAGAUGAGUGUCAGCAACAUAGAAGCCACAUAAGCAGUGUGUGAAAACCUUCAGCUAUUGCCACUCCUUUCAAACACAUGAAAGGCCUCACACUGGAAAGAAACUCCAUGUAAGAAAUGUGGAAAAACCUUCAUUUCUGUUCAAACCUUUUGAAGAUACAUGGUAAUGCACAGUGAAGAUGAACCUUAUAAAUGUAAGUUUUGUGGGAAGGCCUUUGAUAAUCUACAUUUAUAUCUUACACAUGAAAGAACUCACACUGGAGAGAAACCCUAUGAAUGUAAUAAAUGUGGGAAAGCCUUCAGUUGUUCCAGUUCCAUUCGAAAACAUGCAAGAAUUCACACUGGAGAGAAACCCUAUAUAUGUAAACAAUGUGGCAAAGCCUUUAGAUAUUCCAGUUCUAUUCGAAAUCAUGAAAACACUCACACUGGUGAAAAACCCUGUGAAUGUAAGCAAUGUGGGAAAGCCUUUAGUUAUUCCAGUUACUUUCGAAUACAUGAAAGAAUUCACACUGGAGAGCAGGUGUAUAAAUGUAAGGAAUGUGGGAAAACAUUCACUUAUCCCAGUGCCUUUCAUAAACAUAAAAGUACCCACACUUCACAGAAACUUUAUGAAUGUAAGGAAUGUGGGAAAGCAUUUGAUUGUUUUAGUUCCUUUCAUAGUCAUGAAGGGGUUCACACUGGAGAGAAACCCUAUGAAUGCAGAACGUGGAAAAGCCUUCAGUAGUUCUAAGUACUUAAAAAUACAUGGAAGAACUCACACUGGAGAGAAGUCCUAUGCAGUAAAGAAUGAGGGAAAGUAUUUUAUUGUCUCAGUCCCCUUCAAAGACAUGAAAGGACUCACAUCAGAGAAAAGUUGUAUGAAUGUAAAAAAUGUGAUAAAGCCUUCCAUUCGUCCAGUACUGUUAGAAACCAUGAAAGAAGUCACAUUUAAGAAAAACACAGUGAUGUUAGGAAUAUGGGGAACCUUUCCUUUCUCUUCCAGUCUUUGGAAGGCACAGGGUAUGACACACUGGUGACCUUAUAACUGUAAGGAGUGUGGAUAAGUAUUUAUUAGUCCUUGUGUGUUUUAGAUACAUGAAAGAAUUUACUCAAAAGGAAACUCUAUGAAUGUAAAGAAUGUGGUA
rnacentral:lncRNA from 1 species